CCUUGAAGAAGGGGGCUGGAGGAACCCAGCACCUGCUUCUCACUUCCUCUUUCUUUUCCUGACCCGCAGGUGGGAAGUUUCUGCUAUGUCAUAAGCCCACUGUGUGGUGCUGCCUACUCAGCUAAAACUGCAAGCCGAAGUGCACUUGUUCUCCUGGUGAACUGAUUACCUCGAUUGCCUUUUGUUAAAGGACCAGAAAGCUAACAUAGUGGAUGUUCUCUUUUUUUGUCUAAUGGUUCAUAUGCUGAAUAAACAGCACAGCGUGAUGAGCGCUUGUGUGGGUCUGAAAUGAUCUCAGCGGCCCCUGAACUUGUCUGAUGAAAAUCCCGCGGGACGCACAGAUGCUUUCCGGAAUCUAGAAAGCCAGGCGUGGGACCCCUUUCACGUUGGGAAGCGUACACCUUCCUCAGGUGCUGUUCAUCCAGACACAGGGGCCUUGGCAAGCGGAACGAGCACUGCAUACUGAUAAACACUGAAAUUCAGCUCCAGAUGGACCCCGUGAGCCAGGAUUCGCAUUCUAGCAAAUCUCUGGGUAAUUUGGUGCACAAUAA